CCUACGGGUGGCAGCAGUGGGGAAUAUUGCGCAAUGGGCGAAAGCCUGACGCAGCGACGCCGCGUGAGGGAUGAAGGUCUUCGGAUCGUAAACCUCUGUCAGCAGGGAAGAACGGUCACUGUGCUAAUCAGCAGUGAAUGGACGGUACCUGCAAAGGAAGCACCGGCGAACUCCGUGCCAGCAGCCGCGGUAAUACGGAGGGUGCGAGCGUUACUCGGAAGUACUGGGCGUAACGCGCUCGUAGGCGGUAUGUCAAGUCAAGGGUGAAAUCCCCGCGCUCAACGUGGGAACUGCCUUUGAAACUGGCAACCUGGAUUGUGUGAGAGGAUAUUGGACUUCCAGUUGUAGGAGU
rnacentral:rRNA from 1 species